AGCUUGACCAUAUUUCAUCUUUUUUGCAGAGAUUUGCUCCUCCGGUUGCUGAUACUUCAUCUACUCGUAGAGAUGAUGAUGCCGUCGACUCUUGAUACAUCGUAGAUUGUGUACUUACGAUUUUGAGAUGAAUGUUUUUAGAUUGUUUUAAAUUUUUUUUUUUUUGAUACUUACCUCAAUUUCCAAAAUACGAUUAUGCCAGAACUUUGAUAAGUAUAGAUCUUGGAAAGGACUUUAAUUAGUAUGUUCUAUGUUGACUUGACAGGAACAUGGUUUCCAAAAUCUUAUGUAUAACAAUUAGUUUGUAGAGUUUGAUCGGUUUAAGAUAGAUAAUGCAGAUUCGGUCAACCUCAGCCAAAGGAAGAAACACUAUCUAGACACUCCACUCCAUUUUAGGUCCUAACAGGCUCCAGGGCCAAUAGACCGGUCCCAUUACUGGUACAAUGGUCCAGCAUCCCAGUAAUGCUGAGUUAAUCCAUAGUGGAUUUGCAGGGUGAGAAUUUUUAACACGUAUUACUAUUGCUUGAUCAAUUGAAGUAUUGAAUUGGCAUCAUCCAGCUAAAAAACAUGCAUUUGUUAGUUAUAGAAAUUUAAGUUGUAUGCCAUAUUUUAGGUGGUUAAUUUUGUUUAAUUUGCUUUAUGAUCACUUUGCAAACUGGCAUUUUCUGAUUGCAAUACAACUUUCUUAUAUGGUUUACAUGGUACUGUUGUGGUAAAUGAAGGUGAUUCAUGUAAUGAUCGAGGUUAGUGUAUGUGCCAGUCUGUAUUCAAUCUUUGAUUUGUAAACCUACUUCACUGAUUGACUUCAGUUUUCUAGAUGGCCUUUGAAUCUGUAUUAUAGAUGCAGGCUAAACUUAUGUGUGAUUCAAGAAUGAUAGAGAUGUUGCUAUAAUGUUUGGAAUUGUAACCAUGGUGCUUCAUAAUUGAACACCGAGUUAUUGUUUGCAUGUAUUCAAUGGGCACAACUCCCAGGUGACAUCUCUUGAUUUUCAUCCAAAGAAGACAGAUCUCCUCUGCUCUUGUGAUGGCAAUGGUGAAAUUCGGUUAUGGAGUGUCAGCCAGUUUUCAUGCUCACGUGUUUCUAAGGUUAGUUUUCAUGAUUAUGCUUUUAUAUGUU